UCAGGACGAACGCUGGCGGCGUGCCUAAUACAUGCAAGUCGAACGGUCUUUCUAUGGAAGCUUGCUUCCACUGAGAAGAUAGUGGCGAACGGGUGAGUAACACGUGGGUAACCUGCCCAUAAGAGGGGGGUAACAUCCGGAAACGGGUGCUAAUACCGCAUAGUUUUCUUGAUCGCAUGAUCGGGAAAGGAAAGACGGCCUUUGUGCUGUCGCUUAUGGAUGGACCCGCGGCGUAUUAGUUAGUUGGUGAGGUAAUGGCUCACCAAGACGAUGAUACGUAGCCGACCUGAGAGGGUGAUCGGCCACAUUGGGACUGAGACACGGCCCAAACUCCUACGGGAGGCAGCAGUAGGGAAUCUUCCGCAAUGGACGAAAGUCUGACGGAGCAACGCCGCGUGAGUGAAGAAAGGUUUUCGGAUCGUAAAACUCUGUUGUCAGAGAAGAACAAGUUGGAGAGUAACUGCUCCAGCCUUGACGGUAUCUGACCAGAAAGCCACGGCUAACUACGUGCCAGCCGCCGC
rnacentral:rRNA from 1 species